UUAGCUAGCCCGCUGCUCUGACAAUACUUGAUCCUGCAGGUGCUUGUUGCCUUGAUGGAAUAUUGUGAUGAUUAUUUAACAAUUUACAAUCUGGUGAUUUACUAAAUUUAUUUAAAUUCCACAGCCAUCUCCUUUACCAGAUCUUAAAAAAGCACUCUACAGUAUACCGUACCCUCUCAAGUAGUACUACUUGGCCUGAGAAAAUGCUUAUACAUUGUCCUCUGUAGCUCUGAAGGGAGUUUUCUGUACUCUGAAAGAACAAUCCUGGUGAUGUCAUCAUGGUUUCACCAUCAUUUUUAGCAAAGUUUGCCAUUAAUAGUGACCAUCUCUGUCGGUCUGUCGGUCAGUGAUCCCACAACUUUGGUCCUGAUGGAAGAAUCUCAACAACUAAUGGAUCGAUUUCCAUAAUAUCCGAUAGAGAUAUGUAAGGUGCCCAGAGGAUAAAUUUGAAUGACUUCGUGAUUCCCUGAAUUUUCUUAUAGCGCCACCAGCAGGUUUACAUUUUUAGCUUUUAGUAACACGUCUCAACAUCUAUUUAAUGGAUUGCCAUUAAAUAAGAUUCAGACAUGUAUCUUUUCCUAGGUACAUUGUCAUCACUUGUGUGAUGUUUUUAAGGUCCCAUG